rnacentral:lncRNA from 1 species
UAAAACAUGGUAUAAAGUAGGCAGAUCUGCAACUUUCACAUAUCCAGAUUCAUCCCAUAAUAUGUUUGCCAUUUCACUCAGAAUUUAAAAGCUUUCCAGACAUUGAACAGGCUUACUUCAGCCACCAAUAAACAAACAUAGCAUGAGACCGUGAAACAGCCAGAAAGACUUAACAGAAUUAGGCUUCAGGUCUCAAUCAAUUAUUGCGUCAGGAUCAGGCUUCAGGUCUCAAUGAAUUAUUGCAUCAGGUUUAUGUUUAGAAUCAAGAUCGAAACUUUCAUGGUUAUGGCAUUUUUACAGAAGCUAGUGGAAUGAAGAAGAUGAACAAGGAACAACAUAAAAAGCAAAUAAGGAGUUCACAAAGUUUUAAACAACAUUUUGAUAUAGAAAAGGUCAACAAAACACGUGGAAAGAUCACCACCGCAGAUCUCUUAAGUGAUGGAUUAAAUCAGAGUUGUAAGAGACACAUAGACACAACUAUUAGAAAGAUAAUUUCAGAUUUCUCUACAUAUUUAUGUAGACAAAUUCUUCUGCAACUGAUCAUGAAGUUGUGGCACUUCUUUCCUUUCUACCCAUGACAAAUUGUCACUUUUAC